GACCUGGCACAACUACAGAAAAUGACCACAGCGUUGACCAGUAUGAACGUUCUGAUAUUGGAGACACACAGAUAAAAGAUGAACAACAAGGACCGUGUUUCGAUGUAAAGACAACUGAAGAGCCGGCGCUCAACCAAGCGGAUUUGCCCCAAACAACUUACGACAUAGAUAUAUCAAAGGCCAAGGACCGGAUUAGUGAAAUGGACGACUCUGGAAAAUUCCAGCUUCUUCAGACCAGAAAACCACCCAAAUCUUUCAAUUUCCCUGCCAGAGAAUU